GCCCAGACUCCUACGGGAGGCAGCAGUGGGGAAUAUUGCACAAUGGGGGAAACCCUGAUGCAGCGACGCCGCGUGAGCGAUGAAGUAUUUCGGUAUGUAAAGCUCUAUCAGCAGGGAAGAAAAUGACGGUACCUGACUAAGAAGCCCCGGCUAACUACGUGCCAGCAGCCGCGGUAAUACGUAGGGGGCAAGCGUUAUCCGGAUUUACUGGGUGUAAAGGGAGCGUAGACGGCUGUGCAAGCCAGAUGUGAAAGCCCGGGGCUCAACCCCGGGACUGCAUUUGGAACUGUGUGGCUGGAGUGUCGGAGAGGCAGGCGGAAUUCCUAGUGUAGCGGUGAAAUGCGUAGAUAUUAGGAGGAACACCAGUGGCGAAGGCGGCCUGCUGGACGAUGACUGACGUUGAGGCUCGAAAGCGUGGGGAGCAAACAGGAUUAGAUACCCCCGUA
rnacentral:rRNA from 1 species